CAGUCGCCGCGGUAAUACAGAUGGUGCAAGCGUUAAUCGGAAUUACUGGGCGUAAAGCGCGCGUAGGUGGUUUGUUAAGUUGGAUGUGAAAGCCCCGGGCUCAACCUGGGAACUGCAUCCAAAACUGGCAAGCUAGAGUACGGUAGAGGGUGGUGGAAUUUCCUGUGUAGCGGUGAAAUGCGUAGAGAUCGGAAGGAACAUCUGUGGCGAAGGCGACUAUCUGGGCCAACACUGACACUGAGGCACGAAAGCGUGGGGAGCAAACAGGAUUAGAUACCCCCGUAGUCCCUGUCUCUUAUAA
rnacentral:rRNA from 1 species